GACGAACGCUGGCGGCGUGCCUAAUACAUGCAAGUCGAACGAACUCUGGUAUUGAUUGGUGCUUGCAUCAUGAUUUACAUUUGAGUGAGUGGCGAACUGGUGAGUAACACGUGGGAAACCUGCCCAGAAGCGGGGGAUAACACCUGGAAACAGAUGCUAAUACCGCAUAACAACUUGGACCGCAUGGUCCGAGUUUGAAAGAUGGCUUCGGCUAUCACUUUUGGAUGGUCCCGCGGCGUAUUAGCUAGAUGGUGGGGUAACGGCUCACCAUGGCAAUGAUACGUAGCCGACCUGAGAGGGUAAUCGGCCACAUUGGGACUGAGACACGGCCCAAACUCCUACGGGAGGCAGCAGUAGGGAAUCUUCCACAAUGGACGAAAGUCUGAUGGAGCAACGCCGCGUGAGUGAAGAAGGGUUUCGGCUCGUAAAACUCUGUUGUUAAAGAAGAACAUAUCUGAGAGUAACUGUUCAGGUAUUGACGGUAUUUAACCAGAAAGCCACGGCUAACUACGUGCCAGCAGCCGCGGUAAUACGUAGGUGGCAAGCGUUGUCCGGAUUUAUUGGGCGUAAAGCGAGCGCAGGCGGUUUUUUAAGUCUGAUGUGAAAGCCUUCGGCUCAACCGAAGAAGUGCAUCGGAAACUGGGAAACUUGAGUGCAGAAGAGGACAGUGGAACUCCAUGUGUAGCGGUGAAAUGCGUAGAUAUAUGGAAGAACACCAGUGGCGAAGGCGGCUGUCUGGUCUGUAACUGACGCUGAGGCUCGAAAGUAUGGGUAGCAAACAGGAUUAGAUACCCUGGUAGUCCAUACCGUAAACGAUGAAUGCUAAGUGUUGGAGGGUUUCCGCCCUUCAGUGCUGCAGCUAACGCAUUAAGCAUUCCGCCUGGGGAGUACGGCCGCAAGGCUGAAACUCAAAGGAAUUGACGGGGGCCCGCACAAGCGGUGGAGCAUGUGGUUUAAUUCGAAGCUACGCGAAGAACCUUACCAGGUCUUGACAUACUAUGCAAAUCUAAGAGAUUAGACGUUCCCUUCGGGGACAUGGAUACAGGUGGUGCAUGGUUGUCGUCAGCUCGUGUCGUGAGAUGUUGGGUUAAGUCCCGCAACGAGCGCAACCCUUAUUAUCAGUUGCCAGCAUUAAGUUGGGCACUCUGGUGAGACUGCCGGUGACAAACCGGAGGAAGGUGGGGAUGACGUCAAAUCAUCAUGCCCCUUAUGACCUGGGCUACACACGUGCUACAAUGGAUGGUACAACGAGUUGCGAACUCGCGAGAAUAAGCUAAUCUCUUAAAGCCAUUCUCAGUUCGGAUUGUAGGCUGCAACUCGCCUACAUGAAGUCGGAAUCGCUAGUAAUCGCGGAUCAGCAUGCCGCGGUGAAUACGUUCCCGGGCCUUGUACACACCGCCCGUCACACCAUGAGAGUUUGUAACACCCAAAGUCGGUGGGGUAACCUUUUAGGAACCAGCCGCCUAAGGUGGGACAGAUGAUUAGGGUG
rnacentral:rRNA from 2 species